rnacentral:misc_RNA from 1 species
UCAUCGCGUCAUCGUGCAUUUCCGUUUCGCCAUCUUUUAUCUCCGGGAAGCGUGUGUCGUUUCGCGUCCUGUCUUAUCGCGUAGUUUUACGGACUACUGACUUGGUUCUUGUACGAGCCGCAAAAUGCCGGGUUUUAGCAGCGUUGGCACGUUUAAAAUCUUCAUUGGUAAUUUAGCCGACAAGACUUCGAAUGCGGACAUAAAGCCAUUAUUCGAGAAGUAUGGGAAAGUCGUGGAAUGCGACGUGGUAAAGAAUUAUGGCUUCGUGCAUAUGGAAAAUGAGGAGGCAGGCCGAAACGCGAUACAGAAUCUGAAUGGACACAUGGUUCAUGGGCAACCGAUCAAAUGCGAGGCUGCAAAGAGUCGCAAGGGACCCAACACUCCCACAACUAAGAUCUUUGUCGGCAAUCUCACAGACAACACUAAGGCGCCGCAAGUGCGUGAACUGUUCGCCAAGUACGGCACCGUUGUUGAAUGCGACAUUGUACGAAACUACGGUUUCGUUCAUCUCGAGGCAACUGGCGACGUCAACGACGCUAUUAAGGAGCUCAACGGGCAGAUCGUCGAUGGACAACCGAUGAAAGUCCAGAUUUCCACUAGCCGAGUUCGACAGAGGCCAGGCAUGGGCGAUCCAGAGCAAUGCUACCGAUGCGGAAGAGGCGGUCACUGGUCCAAGGAGUGUCCCAAAGGAGGGAUGGGAGGUGGACCGGACAGGAAUGGAUACAGGGACCGAAUGUUUGGACGUGACCCAUAUCCUCCACCGCCGCCACCACCGUUCCUACGGGACCGGCUAAUGGGUGGUGGCCGCUUUGGGGAUUAUGAAAGCUACUACGACAGGCGCGGCUUCGAGGACACCAGGGACCUCUACGAGAGGCGGUUUACGGGUAUGGGAUCCAUGCGUGACACUGGCUUCUCCCGUGGCAAUGAGUAUGGAAUGUUCAGCCGCCGAUCUCCCCCUCCAAGUGGCAACAACGGCCGGUUCAGUGCACCUCAGGCGUACCAUCUUUGUCCAUGAACGCGGGCAACCCUAGAGAGACAGUCCCGGGUCAGCGUUCAAGUCGUAAAAGAACUCGGAGAUUGAGCAGGUCUACAGAAUCGGACUUGGCUGGAAGAUCGCUUUUCCACUCAACCGGCGGCAGGGCAGAGGCGACCAGCCACGUUCUGUAACUUUGUCACGCAGUCACCUCUCUUCCCCCCCAAAGUUACUUUAAGAGACACUGCGUGUCCCGAGCAAGCCUCUCUCAGAGUGACUUUGGACACACGAACGUGUAGAACCAGGCACGCUACUCAAUCAUCUCUGCAUUCUUGAGAUGUGGACGCGAUGAUAGCCCUCUGCUCGCCGGCGACGUCCACGAAGGAUGAUGUUACCCUCGAAGGAACGAGCGAGACGGGCUCGAGAGACGAGGGAGCUUCAAGUAGAAGCGACGAAGUUGAGAUCUGGUGGAGGAGCGACGUAGUGUGGACGAGAGGAGAAGCGGCGCUUCUUCUUCACUCUAGGGGAGAGCCCCGUCUCCGUGAGAGGAAUCUUCUGUAGAGUAUGGACAAAACUGAGAUGCGCUACGACGUGCUUGAACACGCCAAAUCUCGCCUUAGAGCGGAAGAUUCUCGAGAGUCUCUUUCUCUCUCCGCUCGGCGGGAGCACGAAGGUAUCGUAAGAACGAAUACUUUCCCCGCGCUGCGAUUCCUGUAAAAUAUCAAAUAAAUAUCAGACACGUGAUACAAGAGCGUCCUAAUGAAAUAAUGCGAUUGUUCAAGUGAUAUCGUUUCAAGUGAUCACGUUUGCAUUUUAAUGUUUUUGCUGGUUCUUUUUGCUCGAAAAAGUAAAAUUGUAAUCUUAAUUCUUAUUCACGGCGAAUUCUUAUAUUUUUUUUUUACAUUUAUUUGAAAGUUUAAUUUAUCGAGAUUACAGCGAUUUUAAUAUUAUCUUUUUUUUUUUUGUUGAUGUUUAAACAUCCGGUCUCUCUUUUGAUCUACCACCAUGUUAAAUGAUGACAAAAGCGAAAAAUGAUAUAAAUCUUUUUAAACUGUUCGUCGAAAUUAAUUUUUUUCAGCAUGCUGUUACUUUAGUUCGAUAGAAUAUAUUGAUAGAAUAUCGCAAAAUUUCAUUAUUCUGUGUUAAAUUGAUAUAAAAUCGAAUCGAGUUAUAUUUUUAGCGAAAGGUAUGUAAUAUCAAUUGAUUAAAAAAACUUCAAAGA